UGCCAAGGACUCGCAACUCCGACG
rnacentral:siRNA from 1 species